AAAUAAAGCUUCAUCCCUUAUAGAAAAAGCUGCAGCCCUAUGUUGGACUGUUCUAAAAUACUCUUUCGUAAGUCCAGAAUAACACCGUCGUAGUAUCCGUCUCCGUUGACCUAUGUGGACACGGAAAACACAACUCCACGGCCACAUAAAAACACACACGGGGGGGCAACGCAAACAAACAACUCUUGUGUAUUUAUCCAGGAUGGAGGGCAGAGAAAAGUACCGUGGCCCUGACACUUCAAACUUAGCAUGUGAAGCCGUUGGACUACAAAGUCUCUGGAGAAACCCAGUGGGCUAUGUUCACGAUCAAAAGGAUCAGACGAGUCACCUGAGCUCACGCCUCUCUCUUGCACAUGACAGCGUGAGCCCAAGGAGAUGAAGGAGCAUUAAAUGAAUGGCUUGAUCAAGGACGUAAUCCCAAGCCAAGAACAGUCUGAUGACUGUGCCAAAGUGCAUGAACUCUGGACAGCAAUAAAAAGCCUCUGUAUGAUGGUUUUGCCGCUG